CCAAUAGCGUAUAUUAAAGUUGUUGCAGUUAAAAAGCUCGUAGUUGAACUUCGGGGUCUACCCAUUGGUCAGGCUUAAUUGUCUGCACUGGUGAGAUGGAUCUCUACCUUCUGAGGAACUUUCAUGCCAUUUAUUUGGUGUGAUGGGAAAUCAGGACUGUUACUUUGAAAAAAUUAGAGUGUUUAAAGCAGACUAUCGUCUGAAUACAUUAGCAUGGAAUAAUGAAAUAGGACGGACUGAUUCUAUUUCGUUGGUUUCUAGGAUCACCGUAAUGAUUAAUAGUGAUAGUUGGGGGCAUUAGUAUUCAAUUGUCAGAGGUGAAAUUCUUGGAUUUAUUGAAGACUAACUACUGCGAAAGCAUUUGCCAAGGAUGUUUUCAUUAAUCAAGAACGAAAGUUAGGGGAUCGAAGACGAUCAGAUACCGUCGUAGUCUUAACCAUAAACUAUGCCGACUAUGGAUCGGACGAAGUUAAUUUUAUUAUGACGCGUUAGGAACCUUACG
rnacentral:rRNA from 1 species